rnacentral:rRNA from 1 species
UACAGAGGGGGCAAGCGUUGUCCGGAAUUACUGGGCGUACAGCGCACGCAGGUGGCAGUGCAAGUGUGGUGUGAAAGCCCCGCGCUCAACGCGGGGAGGCCAGCACAGACUGCACGGCUGGAGGGGUGCAGAGGGUAGGGGAAUUGCCGGUGUAGUGGUGAAAUGCGUAGAGAUCGGCAGGAACACCAAGGACGAAGGUACCUACCUGGGCACCAACUGACACUCAUGUGCGACCGCGUGGGGAGCGAACCGG